rnacentral:rRNA from 1 species
CGCGUGAGCAAUCUACCUUAGUUACUGGGAUAGCCCGAGGAAACUCGGAUUAAUACCGGAUAUUCUUAUUUUUCACAUGAAGUUUUAAGGAAAGGUCAGCCGAACUAAGAUGAGCUCGCGUUCUAUCAGCUAGUUGGUGGGGUAAAAGCCUACCAAGGCUACGACGGAUAGCUGGUCUGAGAGGACGAUCAGCCACACUGGGACUGAGACACGGCCCAGACUCCUACGGGAGGCUGCAGCAGGGAAUAUUGCGCAAUGAGCGAAAGCUUGACGCAGCGACACCGCGUGUGGGAUGACGGU